rnacentral:lncRNA from 1 species
ACACAGGACUCCGGGAGGAUGAAGUCCAGCAGGACUGAAGUUCAGGACACACACCGGCGGGCUGCGGAGAGGGCCUCCUCGCGCCGGGGCUCCACACAGGAGGAGUAAUGCUAUUCCUCUAGCUUUUGAAGUAGGAGUGGCGGGCGAAGCUGGCACCUCUGGGGCGGAGAGCCCUUUCUCCCCGGCCCAUCUGCGGACUGGGGUGAACGAGGAGAGGGCACCAGGGAAGGAGCAGGAUUGGGGGAUUCCGAGGAACGGGAGCAGACACCCACAGACCCGAGGGAAGGGGGCUGGGUUCCCCUGCGCCGCCCUCCCAAAGGCCAGGGAACAAGAGGUGCAGGCGGCAAAGGCGCUCAAGCUCCCAGCACAGCCUGGGAAGGAGAGGAGGUCGCGGGACGCAGCCCCAGGCCUGCCUAGGAUGUGUCAGGGCGCCUGGUCGGCGGGCGGAAGCGGUCUCCCCCUCGCAGCUCGAGUUUCAGAAAAACGACGGCGGGCGCGGGGCUGGACGGCCGGGGCACCUGGGUCUCUCCGGAUCCUCCUCCCACUCCAUGCCAGCCUGCGCGGCUUGGGCCCCGCUUACCUGCUCCGGGUGGCUCUUGUCGGCCUCGCGAGGCUCAUUUUCGUUGCCAGCCCCCUGCACCUCGGCGGCGGCCGGCGGCUCGGCCUGCCCCGGCGCUUCCUGGGCGCGCAGCAGCUCCUCUCGGACCUGGACGCCGAGCUUCUGCAGCUGCUCGUCCGUCUCGGGGUCGACCACCAGCAGGCGCACGGCGUUGAGUGCGGCGCGGAUGCGGCUCACCACCUGCUGGUGGAAGCCGUAGCCGUUCGGACCCUUCUCCAGGCAGCAGAGCCGGGGCAGGGGCGCCCCGGCCGCUGCGUCCGCGCUCAUCUCGCCCUGCGACGGGUCAGCGGCGCGACUUGGGGUUCCGAUGGGGACGGGACGGGACGGCCCAGCCCUUCUUCCCGUCCAGCGAACCGGGAGCGCAGCAGAGAAGCCCUGAGCCGCCGGACGGGCCAAGCAAGCAGGUGUCCCAGGAACCGUCGGCCGCCGCGAGCCGCGAGGAGCCGAGAGAGGACCACAGACCAAUCCCCGCCCCGCGCGGCGUCUGAGCGUCCCAGAGUCCGCCCCGGCUCCUUACCCCGGGGGCGGGGCCGCGCUGAGGAAAAAUGAUUAGGACUGUAAAGCCUUCUAGCUCCCUCUUGCCAAAGAGAGGCUGGUCACAGAGGCGGGAGACAGUCUGUUGAGCGGGGAGCUGACCAUCUGAGGACAGACACUGAGGAAGGAGGAUGGAAUGAUUUUGGCAGUGAAUGACAAUUCCUUCAACAAGACCCCCCCCCCCCACUCACUUCAAAGAAACAGUGGACAGGAUGUGCUUUCCAAAAUACUGCAGUUUAAUUCUGAAAAACUCAAAUGCAAGAGGCCCAGAGCUGUCUAUGGGAUUGGAUCUCCUGCAACCUGCCUUGGGCCCCAGAAGAGACUGGCAAUGUCAGCCUCCUCCCUGCUCUGCCUGAGGGAGGCCACGGAGAACUUCCUUAUCGGGCCCAAACUGGAGCCGCUGACUGCUCAGAGCAAGAUUUCUGCCUUGAAAGCAAAUGCAGUAGCCUCAGAAAUGUGCAGCGCAUACUUCUUCCUCCCCCUCUCCCCCUCCAGGCCGGCAGAGCUGCAGUAAAGAUGCCUGCAGGUCAUGACCUCAUGUUUCCUGUCCACUUCCCAUGGCAGGGAUCGGAGCUUUGGGAGAUAUGUGACCAAGGAGGACACAUGAACUUGCUACCCCUCUCUCUACCCCAGACAUACCCACAUGACUUUGUUUUACUCAUAUUGCAUUGGUUUAACUCGGAAAUGGGUGACCUCCCACCACCUAACCUGACUCAGUAGGAGGGGAGGUAAAGCAGUUUAGGCCCUGGUAUCUGUUUGAGAAGUUAAAGGAAAGGGCAUGGGUGGUCAGGGAGGAGGCAGAGCUUGGGGUCAAAGGGAUACAUGUCAGGGGAGGUUUGCUUAAUCUUGUCUCCCACCAGCUCCAGGAGCCAGGGAUUUCUCUUUUUUUUCACAACACAUUCCAAACCUAGGAAAGGGAUUUCUCCUUAUCUGGCUCUUAACCCAGGAGGGCUAAACACUUCAGCUGCUUGAAGAAAUCGCCUGUGGAGCUGCAUGCCUGCCAAAGGAUUGGGAUAAGACACAUCUAGCCUGGGCAUGGUGCCUUCUGCGUGUAAUCCCAGUACUUUGGGAGGCCGAGGCCGGCAGGUUGCUUGAGCUCAGGAAUUCAAGACCAGCCUGGGCAACAUGGCGAAACCCUGUGUCUACAAAAAAUACAAAAAUUAGCCAGGUGUGAUGGUACACACCUAUAGUCCCAGCUACUUCGGCGGCUGAGGUGGGAGGAUCGCUUGAGCCCCAGGGAGUGGAGGUUGUAGUGAGCGGAGAUUGCACUACUGCACCUCAGCCUGGGCGACAGAACGAGACUCCAUUUCAAAAAAAUAAAAACAAAACUCUUUUCCUAGUUCUGACCUGAGGUUUUUAGGUGCACAGGCAGGAAGGUAGCUAAGCCAGGGAUUCAGGGGGGGGAGGGGCUCCCCCAGGAUCUGAAGUCCAGAGAACAGGAGCCUGGAACCAAUAUUUCCAGGUGCCCCAAUGUGCUUGUGUGCUGGAGAAAAGGGGCAUGCCUCCAGGGGGGUGUUAGUAAGGCCAGAGAUAGCCAGCUAGACCCUACUCUCUGCCCCUUGUCCUCCCCCUCCCAUCUCCAUAUCUCUUAUCUUCCCUGAGGCUUUGGUCUUCCUCACAGCACAAGGGCCCACUUAUUUGGGAGAUGGGGCGAAGAUAAGCUCCUGGAGAGCGGGAGACAGUGAAGGCUGGGGUCACCUGAGCCUCUGUCCAGCUGAACUGAGGGUGCGAUGGAGUCAUUACCUGCCCUCACCCCCAAAGUGCAUCUGUGUCCCCUGGGGCUGAGCUGGAGCAACACCACCUUUGUUAUGCUUAGGAGGGAGGGCCGGCCCCCCAAGUCCUAGAAAGCAAAAGGGCCACUAGCUCCCAGCCUCGGUUUUUUGGGGAUCCAGGCGCCUUUUUUGGUAUUAAAUUAUGUACUAUUAAAAUAAAAGCUAAGUGUUUUACCCUC